AAGACUAUAGACCUGCGGAGUACCUGCGGAGGGAUCAUUAUUGAACGGUCUUCUGACCUUCUACCCUUCAAACCUGUGGAAGUGAAAAACGUGCUUCGGCGUCCAAUGGGCCGGCCGCCGCUUUUAUGCUGGAAUAUGCAUGUUGUCUGAAUCCGAUAUGAAGAAUCAAAACUUUUAACAAUGGAUCUCU
rnacentral:misc_RNA from 1 species